rnacentral:rRNA from 1 species
AUUGAACGCUGGCGGCAGGCCUAACACAUGCAAGUCGAGCGGAUGAAAGGGGCUUGCUCCUGGAUUCAGCGGCGGACGGGUGAGUAAUGCGCAGGAAUCUACCUAGUAGUGGGGGAUAACGUUUCGAAAGGAACGCUAAUACCGCAUACGUUCUGAGGAAGAAAGCAGGGGAUCGUAAGACCUUGCGCUAUUAGAUGAGCUUGCGUCCGAUUAGCUAGUUGGUGGGGUAAAGGCCUACCAAGGCGACGAUCGGUAACUGGUCUGAGAGGAUGAUCAGUCACACUGGAACUGAGACACGGUCCAGACUCCUACGGGAGGCAGCAGUGGGGAAUAUUGGACAAUGGGGGCAACCCUGAUCCAGCCAUGCCGCGUGUGUGAAGAAGGCCUCGGUU